CACACACACACACACACACACACUUUGCAUUAGCAGUCCAUGCUUCAGUGCUCUGUGAGUGUUUAUAGUCCUGUGACUUGAACACUUCAUGACUGAGAGCUGCUGAUCAGCAACUUCACCCACAGCAACCAUGACUUUGAUCAGCGUCUUCAUCUGCACACUGGCCCUCUGGACUCAAGGAUCCAGAGGUCAGGUGACUGUGACUCAGACUCCUUCAGUGCAAACUGUUGUUCCAGGAAACACAGUCACCAUCAACUGUAAAACCAGUAGCAAUGUGUAUAAUGGAGAUUUUUUAGCCUGGUACCUGCAGAAACCUGGAGAAGCUCCUAAACUCCUGAUCUACAGGGCUACAAGCUUACAGUCAGGAAUUCCAGCUCGUUUCAAAGGCAGUGGAUCGAAUACUGACUUCACUCUGACCAUCAGUGGAGUCCAGACUGAAGAUGCAGGAGAUUACUACUGUCAGAGUGCACAUCAUAUCAGUGGUCCAUCAUUGUUGAUGUGUGCAGUGAGAGGAUCUUAAAUGCAAAAUGAAUAA